rnacentral:rRNA from 1 species
AGAACGAACGCUGGCGGCAUGCCUAACACAUGCAAGUCGAACGAGACCUUCGGGUCUAGUGGCGCACGGGUGCGUAACGCGUGGGAAUCUGCCCUUGGGUUCGGAAUAACGAGUUGGAAACGACUGCUAAUACCGGAUGAUGAACGUUAAGUACCAAAGAUUUAUCGCCCAGGGAUGAG